rnacentral:misc_RNA from 1 species
GUAGGUGAACCUGCGGAAGGAUCAUUACAAAUUAGUUGUGGAUUUUGGGUGGUGUAAAGUGUGAUUUGUGACGCGACGUGUGAAGUGUGGUAUUUCGAUAUUACAUUACACACAUGCAUACAUUAAUUACAUUACUUGCACUACUCAUUGUCCAUUAUAGCCCACUCCUGAAAGGGAGAUGGACGCGCUAGUGCUAGUUCGCUGGCGCAAAUAGACCUUAAAUCAUGACUUAUUCCAAAAAGAAAAUAACCAAAACUUUUAACAAUGGAUCUCUUGGCUCUU